UACGAAGGGGACUAGCGUUGUUCGGAAUCACUGGGCGUAAAGCGCACGUAGGCGGAUUUGUAAGUCAGGGGGUGAAAUCCCGGGGCUCAACCUCGGAACUGCCUUUGAUACUGCGAAUCUCGAGUCCGAUAGAGGUGGGUGGAAAUUCCUAGUGUAGAGGUGAAAAUUCGUAGAUAUUAGGAAGAACACCAAUGGCGAAGGCAGCUUGCUGGGCUAUCCUGACACUGAGGUA
rnacentral:rRNA from 1 species